AUUGAACGCUGGCGGCAGGCUUAACACAUGCAAGUCGAGCGGGGGAAGGUAGCUUGCUACCGGACCUAGCGGCGGACGGGUGAGUAAUGCUUAGGAAUCUGCCUAUUAGUGGGGGACAACUUCUCGAAAGGGAUGCUAAUACCGCAUACGUCCUACGGGAGAAAGCAGGGGAUCUUCGGACCUUGCGCUAAUCGCUAAGCCUCAGUCGGAUUAGCUAGUUGGUGGGGUAAAGGCCUACCAAGGCGACGAUCUGUAGCGGGUCUGAGAGGAUGAUCCGCCACAAUGGGACUGAGACACGGCCCAGACUCCUACGGGAGGCAGCAGUGGGGAAUAUUGGACAAUGGGGGGAACCCUGAUCCAGCCAUGCCGCGUGUGUGAAGAAGGCCUUAUGGUUGUAAAGCACUUUAAGCGAGGAGGAGGCUACUUUAGUUAAUACCUGGAGAUAGUGGACGUUACUCGCAGAAUAAGCACCGGCUAACUCUGUGCCAGCCGCCGCGGUAA
rnacentral:rRNA from 1 species